GCAGGACCGAACAGAGUGAAAAAUAAAAGGGCAGGACAGGGAUUACAGCUAAAAAAAAAUGCAGGACAAAAUUUUUCCUCCUAGCCCCCCAUAAAAAUCAAAUGGUAGCUCCCUAAGAUUGUCAACGAGACAACUGAACUCUCCACAAGUGACAAAAUGACGUUAAUAUGAGCAACCAUGGGACACCACGAGGCAUUCGAAAUGGUCAAAACCCAAUUUAAUCAAAUAACCUAUAAAAGUUCGGGGUUUAUAGCCUUUUAUGAGGUACGGGUUUAUUUCAAUGUUGAUCGCCGGACGGUGACCAAUAGAUGUUAACUUUUAUGACAUUUAGUCUCUGGUGUGGAAUUGUCUCAUCGGCAAUCAUACCACAUCUUUAAUAAAUUAAUAUAUACAGACAUCAAGACAAAAAGUAAAACAAUUCAAACGAGAAAAUCAACGACCAAGUAAUUAAUUCACAAAAGAAUAAACGAAAAGAAAAUACAAAUACGGUAAACAACGAUAAACUGAGCAAACUUCAGAUUCUAACUCCUGACACACACUAACAAAUACAUGUACAUAAAAUACAAUAAACUGACGGAACUUCAGAUUCCAAAUCCUUACACACACUUACAAAUACAUAAAAUUACAAUAAACUGACUGAAAUUAAGACUCCAAUUCCUGACACACUAAUAAAUACAUAAAAUUACAAUAAACUGACUGAAAUUCAGACUCCAACUCCUGACACACAUUAAAAAAUUUACAAAAUUACAAAUAUACAUACAUUUUUUAAACAAAUUGGAUGAAUGUGCUAAUUGCACAUACAAAUGUACUAGUAUACCUAUAAAAAAGAAGAUGUUGGUAUGAUUGCCAAAUGAGACAACUCUCCACCAGAGACAAAAUGACACAGACUAAAUUAAUAACUAUAGAUCACCGUACAACCUUCAACAAUGAGCAAAGCCCAUACUGCAUAGUCAACUAAAAAAGAACCCGAAAUGACAACUGUAAAACAAUUUAUACACGAAAACCAAUUGUAUUGUGACUGAAUAUCUUGUAACAUGUUAAUAAUAUAAUAAAG
rnacentral:lncRNA from 1 species